AUUGAACGCUGGCGGCAUGCUUUACACAUGCAAGUCGAACGGUAACAGGUUAAGCUGACGAGUGGCGAACGGGUGAGUAAUGCAUCGGAACGUGCCCGGUCGUGGGGGAUAACACUUCGAAAGAAGUGCUAAUACCGCAUACGAUCUGAGGAUGAAAGCGGGGGACCGUAAGGCCUCGCGCGAUCGGAGCGGCCGAUGUCAGCUUAGGUAGUUGGGGGGGGAAAGGCUCACCAAGCCGACGAUCUGUAGCUGGUCUGAAGGGACGACCAGCCACAGUGGGACUGAGACGCGGCCCAGGCUCCUACGGGAGGCAGCAGUGGGGAAUUUUGGACAAUGGGCGCAAGCCUGAUCCAGCAAUGCCGCGUGCAGGAAGAAGGCCUUCGGGUUGUAAACUGCUUUUGUACGGAGCGAAAAGGCUCUCUCUAAUACAGGAGGCUCAUGACGGUACCGUAAGAAUAAGCACCGGCUAACUACGUGCCAGCCGCCGCCGUAA
rnacentral:rRNA from 1 species